CGCCUGUUUAUCAAAAACAUGUCUGUAUGAAUAAAAUGUAAAGUCUAGCCUGCCCACUGAUAAUUAGUUUUAAAGGGCCGCGGUAAUUUGACCGUGCAAAGGUAGCAUAAUCAGUAGUCUUUUAAUUGGGGGCUGGAAUGAAUGGUUGGACAAGAAGCUGUCUGUCUUUAUUGUAAAAAUUGAAUUUAACUUUUAAGUGAAAAGGCUUAAAUAUGUUGGGGGGACGAUAAGACCCUAUAAAACUUGACAUAGAAAGUUGGUUUUUAAAUUGUUGUAUUAAAGUAAACCAGGCUUAUUUUGUUACGUUGGGGCGACGAGAAUAUAAGAUGUAACUGUUAGUGAAUUGAAAUAAUUAUUUUUAGUUGUUUGAUUGAUCCUUUUAUAGAGAUUAUAAGAAAAAGUUACUUUAGGGAUAACAGCGUGAUUUUUUCUGAGAGUUCUUAUCGACGAAAGUAGUUGCGACCUCGAUGUUGAAUUAAGAUAUUAUUAGGGUGUAGAAGUUCUAAUUAUAGGUCUGUUCGACCUUUAAAAUCUUACAUGAUUUGAGUUCAAACCGGUGUGAGCCAGGUUGGUUUCUAUCUAA
rnacentral:rRNA from 1 species